AAUCGAAAACCAAGCCUCUCACAUUCACCUUAAUAUUAUUAAACUAAACCAUUUACUUAUUGAUAGUAUGGGCGACAGAAAACUUAUAAGCGCAAUAAAUAAAGUACUGCAAAGGAAAGAUGAAAUAGAAAUUAAAUAAACCAUAAAAAUACAAUAAAGCAAUGAUUAAUACCUGUACCUUUUGCAUCAUGGUCUAGCAAGUCAAACCUUACAAAAAGAAUUUAGCAAGAUCCCCCGAAACCAAGCGAGCUACCUUUGGGCAACACAUAUGAACAACCCGUCUCUGUGGCAAAAGAGUGGGAAGACCCAUAGGUAGAGGCAAUAAACCUAACGAGCCUGGAUAUAGCUGGUUGCUUGAGAAAGAAUUUAAGUUCACAUAAAAGCAAACAUAACAAUAAGAAAAAUAUAAGCUUUUAUUUUAAUCAAUCGAGUUACAGCUCGAUUAAUAAGGGAAACAUCCCAAAUAAAUGAAUAAGGAUUAUAUUAUUUAAGAAAAAUUUGAGCCCAGUAGGCCUAAAAGCAGCCACCUAAACAGCGUUAAAGCUUAACUCAAACUACAUCUACCAUCUCAAUAAAAAAUCUUAAUUCAACAUAAUAAUCAAGCCAAUCUAUUUAUAGAUGAACUACUACUAGAAUGAGUAAUAAGGACAUAUCCUCUACAAUACAGGUGUAAAUCAGAACGAACAAUCGCUGAUAAUUAAUGAAUAUAUUUACAAAAACAAGAACUUAAUAAUAAAAACCAUUAAACCAACACAGGAGUAUUUAAGAAAGACUUAAAACUUAGAAAGGAACUCGGCAAACCCAGGCUUCGCCUGUUUACCAAAAACAUCGCCUUUUGAACUAUUAAUAUAAAAGGUCCUGCCUGCCCAGUGACAUCUGUUUCAACGGCCGCGGUAUCAUGACCGUGCAAAGGUAGCGUAAUCACUUGUCUUUUAAAUAAAGACCAGUAUGAAUGGCAAGACGAAAGCCUAACUGUCUCUCUAAGUUAAUCAAUAAAAUUGAUCUUUCCGUGCAGAAGCGGGAAUAAUAAUAUAAGACGAGAAGACCCUGUGGAGCUUUAAACUUAAGUUAACAAAAUAUAAAUGUACUAACACCAAGUUUUAGGUUGGGGCGACCAUGAGGUAAAACACAACCCUCAAGAUAAAAACUAAGAAGGACACUUCAAAUAAUAUUAUUACACUUGACCCAAUAAUUGAUCAACGAACCAAGUUACCCCAGGGAUAACAGCGCAAUCUACUCAAAGAGCCCCUAUCGACGAGCAGGUUUACGACCUCGAUGUUGGAUCAGGACCCCCAAAUAAUGCAACAGUUAUUAAAGGUUCGUUUGUUCAACGAUUAAAGUCCUACGUGAUCUGAGUUCAGACCGGAGCAAUCCAGGUCAGUUUCUAUCUAUAACCUAACUUUUCCAGUACGAAAGGACCGAAAAAUUAAAGCCCAUAAACAAUUAAGCCUUAAAAAUAACCUCUGAGCACAAAUAAAGAGAAUAGAUAAAUAUUAGU
rnacentral:rRNA from 1 species